UGCGGACGGAUUCAGUCCCAAGAAGCUAAAGUUUUUCAAAGACAUUUGUAGGGAGGACUUUGCAGCUAAUGGAGCUGAAGUAUUUUAUGUAAGGAGGAUUUUGCAGCCCAUAUAGAUUUCCUUAGGCUGAACCAAAACCUGCCAGACUAAAGUUGAUUUGGGAGAGAAAGACGUUGUAAACUCAAUCAUCUUGACAUUCUUCAAUGAGUAAUUGUUCAAUUUUAGGCAAAUACUGUACACUUUGAAU